CAAAUGCCGACCGUAUUAUCUCCCAAGAGAAUUCUCCUCUGUUAAUGUCACAGCUGUGUAUAUCCCCCCUCAAGCCAUUACCAUGGCCCUCGAUGAACUUCCCUGGACUUUAUGCAAACUGGAUACCAUAUAUCCUAUGGCUGCAUUUAUUGUAGCGGCGGACUUUAACAAAGCAAAUUUGAGAACAAGGCUACCUACAUUCUAGCAGCAAACUCUGAAUCACUGCUACUCUUUCUUCCGCGAUGCAUACAAGGCCCUCCCCCACCCUCCUUUCGGCAAAUCUGACCAUGACUCCAAUUUGUUCCUUCCUUAGGCAUAAAAUCAAACAGGAUGUACCCGUGUUAAGUAAUAUUCAAUGCUGGUCUGACCAAUCGGAAUCAAUAAGACAUUUAAACAUGUUAACCCUCGCAAGGCUGCCAGCCCAGAAAGCAUCCCUAGUCGCGUCCUCCGAUCAUGCUCAGACCAGCUGGCUGGUAUGUUUACGUAAAUAUUCCAUCUCUCCCUGUCCCAGUCUGCUGUCUCCACAUGCUUAAAGAUGGCCACAAUUGUUCCUGUACCCAAGAAGGCAAAGGAAGGGUUUCAAGUUGGUGAUACUGGACGAGGCCGAUGCUAUGACCCGGGAUGCACAGAAUGCAUUGCGGCGAGUCAUUGAGAAGUACACAGAGAACACGCAUUCUGCCUGACCUAUAACUCCAGAUGCACCAGGUUCCGUCCUGUCUCAGGACCAGAUGAUCCCCAGGCUGGAGUAUGUUAUCCAACAGGAGAGUCACAGGCAGCAGAGUACUGGAACGAAAGGCGGCCAAAUGAGGUGUUGGCUUUAGGGAUGAUCAGUGAGAUACACCUGCUGGAGCGCGUGCUACGGAUGGGUGUUGCCAUCGUGACCAGUGAACUGAUAUAACUCCAGAUGGAAUAAAAGCUAUUGUGACCCUAUCAUCGGGAGACAUGAGAAGAUCACUCAACGUACUGCAGAUGGGUUUGCUUAUCAAGUUGGCAGAUAUUGAGUACCGGCUGGCCUCGGGACUCAAUGAGAAGACCCAGUUGAGCUCGAUGAGAGAGAGAUUUGGGUCAAUGAUGCCACCCAGACCAGCGGUCCCCAAACAGUCACAACCAUCUAGUACAGUGCUUCCCAAACUGUGCCCCCCCAAAUAUAUAUUUUUUAUUUUUUUAAGGAACUCGGUGCACCUUUCAACUUACUCUUGAAAGUUGUAAUAGUAGAACGCACAAGAUGUAAUUUCAAAAAUGGGUAGUGCAUCAUCAGUUUUCCUCUUGUUAUUUCAGUCAUUGCAUACCUUAGAGCUGUUUAUAACUUUUCAGAAAUGUCCAUGUCAGCUAAUGUUUUUUUAGCCCAUAGAUUUUGUUGUAAUGUUUGAGACUCAAAUAACAUAAAUACACAUUAGACAUGGCAACAUUUUAUAGAAUUCCAAGAAAAUGAUUGAAAACGGCAACAUUUUCUCUGCACCCCUUCACAAAAUGUUUGAAUUGCAGGAAAAAAUCUUUAAACUUGCCACAUUUUCUCUCCAACAAGAGGGGUGUGAACAGUUUGUGUCAUGAACAGUGCUUGUGCCCAAAGAACUAGUCGUGGCGCAAACGCGGGAGGGGGCGAAUGCUCCCCAUUGCUGGAAGGGGGGCCUGAGUGAAAAAGUUUAGAAACCCCUGAUCUAAUACACAUUGGUCGCCUACCAAGUUCUUGGAGAGCUACGGGGUGUGCAUGAUUUUGUUCCAGCCCAUCUUUAACACACCUGAUGCAAUUAAUACAUUGCUGGUCGAGACCAUGGUUACUGGUUACCAUGGUUAUGAGUCAGGUGUGCUAGUGUUGGGCUGGGACAAAAGGCCUGCGUACCCUGUUCACUUAAAUAUAACAUUUAUCAAUGAAAGCGACAGGGGAGAGAACUCUUGAGACUAACAUCAUAAAGACACACUUGUGUUGUCUCCGUUUGCUCAAUAUUCCUUUAUGUCCAUUAAGUUGAAUUUGUUUAAUAAAAUUAUAAUUUGUGUA